rnacentral:rRNA from 1 species
CACGUAGGGUGCAAGCGUUGUCCGGAAUUAUUGGGCGUAAAGAGCUCGUAGGCGGUCUGUCGCGUCGGCUGUGAAAACCCGGAGCUCAACUCCGGGCCUGCAGUCGAUACGGGCAGACUGGAGUUCGGCAGGGGAGACUGGAAUUCCUGGUGUAGCGGUGAAAUGCGCAGAUAUCAGGAGGAACACCGGUGGCGAAGGCGGGUCUCUGGGCCGAUACUGACGCUGAGGAGCGAAAGCGUGGGGAGCGAACAGG